rnacentral:snRNA from 1 species
GUGCUUGCUCAGGCACCACAUUUGAUACACUGGAUUUGAUGCAGAGAAGGUUAGUACGGCCCCUGCGACACAGGAUGACAUUCAAAUUUGUUAAGCCUUUCCACAUUAA